rnacentral:rRNA from 1 species
UUGACCUCAAAUCAGGUAGGAUUACCCGCUG